UCAUCAAAUAGGUCCACGUAUUAAAUCGAUUUCAGUUCCUUAAAAAAAAUUAAAACGAUUUCUUCUUCUCUGUACCGACGCUUCAUCCCACUCUUUUAACAUGGAAGACGAAACCAGGGCCUCUCCAUCUUCCAUCCACUAUCCCAUAGGCCCUUCAUCUCUCACAUGAGCCCUUUGCUCCGUGUCCAUAUAAUGAGCGUGCUCUCGGGUCUCUCAAAUUUCAAUCCAUCGAGCCCUCUCUCCAUCCAGAAAAAAUCCAGUCCUUUCCAGGUGGUUGUGGCGGCUAUGUGGCAAUCGCCUCUCUCCUGCUUCGGAACGAUCGCCGGUCUGCCUCGGCUCCGGCCUCACACCACCCGUCGUCCAGCAAAAGAAAAAUACACUCAGCCAUGAAACCAACGAGAACAUGCGAGAGAAGGGGGGGAGGGGAGGAGAGGAUCUGGGUCGGGAUCCCAGGCGAUGCCGAUGGCGAGGAGAUCUUCGGGGCGCGGCGGCGGCGGGCCGGGGGUGGAGGUCAUGAUGGUGAUGGAGCUGGCGGCGGCGGAAGACAACGUAAUCAUCAUCAACCGCCCCGACCAAGCUGGCCUCGGCUGCAACCUCUACAUCAACAUCUCGAGUUCGACCUUCGCAUCUCCCGCACCGUUGCCUUCGACAGCUCUCCCGCACCUUGGUUCGCUCUCGCCCGGACAACCGACCCGGGUCUCCUUUCGGCCACAGAGGAACAACCUGGUAGCGAAUAUUAUUAGGAGUCCUUUUGCUUCAAGACCUGAACAGACCAACAAUUGCAAGGGCUUCAAUCUGAUGUGUUGUACCACACGGUAUUCCUCUACCUGCGUAUUCCCACGAAUCCUAUUUCUUCCAUACAUAUGUGCCUUUCAGGAUUCGCUUCUACUAUUUUUGUUAUGUUUAGCCUUCUGCCAUCUAAUGCAUGGCGUGUUAAUCCUUCUUUAUAUCUUGCAGCAAUCAAUAAUGCAUGUUACAUCGGUUGGUUUUUUCAGUUACAUUUAUGCGGAAACUAUCUGAUUGAGUUUAGCUGAUGGCUACAAAAUGUGGGAUUAUUUCUGACAGUAGGGUGCUUCAAUAUCUGCAUCUUACAAUUUGUUGCAAUGCUAAUGGCUACAUGACGUGCCAUUAUUUCUGUAUCUCUUUGUUCCAACUGUUCCAGUGUAAUGUGAUGAUGGAUUAAAUAUAGUACGGUACAAUAGCUUGGCAUGGAAAAAUGAACAGGUAGCUUUUUCAGUCCGAGACAACUACCCUCUUUGGUGAUUUAGAGUUAUAAAUUUUAUAUAUUUCUCUAUUGUUCCUAUGAAGAGUAGAUGAUGACGCUGUUCCAAACAACAAAAUAAAAGAAGCAGGCAUUAGCUUUUGUUCUGCCCAGGUUAAAUUUUGAACCAGGAUUGACUUUAUCCUACAUUAACAAUUCCUCCCUGUUUUAGUUAGUGCAAUUCCAAGUUAGUUAUUCCAGGAAUAUCUGCAUGGAUUAUACUCUAUACCAUCUCAGAAUCUUUAUUCAUAAGAAAUAGUGUGAAGCUAGCAACUUAGGCUAAGGUGUGAAAAGAUUGUCUAAUUUACCUACUCUACUGGUGCUGGAUCACGCUUUUAAAAAAUGGUACACCAUUAUUGCAUUUGUACUUCAAACUCAAAAUUUUACAGAGGCAAAGCACUGCGUUCUUGGCAAGAGAUUACCCUUUUAACUCUUGCUCUAUUACUCGAUAUAUGUUCAUGUAUUUAUCUGAGAGUUCUUUAGAAAUAUACUAGUAAGCUUGCACGUGCAACGCACGUCUUAAUUGCCACAAAAUAAUUAUGAAAAUAGUUGUCUAGUUUUACAUAGUUUUUUUAUCUACACAUGUUUCUUCUUUUUGUGAAUUUUUUUAAUCUACACAUGUUUCUUCUUUUUGCGAAAAUUAUCUACACAUGUUUCACUAAAUAAUAGUGUUUUUAGUAGAAGAAAAAACUAAUUCACAAGGACAAAUGAAGAAGGUGCAAAUAAUAUUAAAGAUUAAUAAAUGUAUGUAACAAGUGACCGUAUGUCCAAGUCAGUUUGCGUGUCUGAUUGAAGUCAAUCAAAAGUAUAUAACACAUGUAUACUAAAGAGGAAAUGGUAUAAAAAUAUAAAACUAUCUUGUAGUACGAUAAUAUUUCAUACACCACAAUAUGCUUCUUUUUUAUCAUUAUUACCAUAAAGAAAAAUCAGUAAAAGGAUACGACAAUGACACUCAAUGCCAUUCAUAAUACACUCAUAGUAAAUUCUCAAAAAAAAAUCAUAGUAAUCAUAUCGUUCAGUGCACGUAUUGACUGAUAUAGCUAAAGCUAAGAGUAUUUAAAGCAAGAAAAAAUUAGGACAUAGAAUGGUUUCACUUUGUUGCUUUCCAUUGGACGGCCAAAAGGGCAUGGCCUUACUCCUUUGACGUGCAUCUUUGAUGGCCUUACAAAAUGUUGUUCUUAACAGAAAAAUGUUCCCAUUCAAAUAAAAAUAAAGAAUGUCACAUGUUCCCUAUUUAAACAAGAAUAACACAUGUUCUUUGCUAGAAAUCAUGCGUGCAAUGUUGGCCAAAAGUAUAGUAUGAGCAAUACCAUCAACAAGUACGAGGGGAUAAAGAGUGAGCAAACCAAAUACAUAAUAAUGUGAAUUGCAAGUGGUAACUGUCUCCAGUAAGUUUGAAUUGUAAUUGGUAAUACUCUCUGCAACAUGUCCUCUGGCACCUUGCAAUAGAAAAUAUGGCAUGUAUAUUCACAUUCAUAUGAAAAGCUAUGGAAACUGAAAACACACCAAAAUAAUGCACAAUCUGGAUGUAUUGGUUUUUGUUUUCACAUUUUGCUUCCCAGCACAAGUACCAGACAGGAAGAUUCAGAUACAUGCAAAACGGCUUCUGUGUGCACAUACGCCUUGAAUGGUAAAAAAAAAUAUAGAUCUGUUUCCUAGAAAGGAAGAACGCAGUGAGGACACAAAUAAAAAUGAAUGUUGAGAAUAGAAACAAAUAUAAGAAUAGGCUUUCAGCGAAAGUUGUAUUCUUGUAGAAAUUUUGCUGAGCAUUAGAUAGUCCAUCACUAUAGUAAAUGUGGACAUAAAGUGCAAGCCAUAGAAGAUACAUUGUGCUGGUCGGGUUGUGAUCAAUCAAAUCACCGAAUCAAAAAAUAUAUCAGCCUGUGAACACUGCCUGUUACAGCUUGGCAGGCACAGAUGCACAACUUUCUACCAGUAUUUGCAAAGGUGCACUCGCAAAAGGUCAACAACUGUUUUUGAUCAGGUGUACUAAAAAACACUUAAUAAUUUAGCUGCUCUAGUUGCAUAGAUAUCAACAAUAUGGAAUAAAAGGAGUCUAGAAUUUCAACAAAUGAUACAAAGCAUUUGGGAGAAUGCAAGCCACUGACUCUUGUUAUGAGUCAAGAAAUUUAGCUGAUCAUUUUUUCUUGUCGUGGACUGGGAUGUUGCAUUCUCGGAACACUGGCAUGUUUUCUAUUUGUUUUCAGAUAUUAUAUAUACCCUAUCAACUCAAACUCGAUUUUGCAUUUUUUUAAUUCAAAUUGUUUUUAUCUGAGUUGCAGAAGAGUGAUUGACAUGUUGUCAAGCAAUAUGACCAAAGUUCCUUUGAGCAAUCGUCAUAACACACUCCACUUGUGUUCCAACUUCCAAGUAAUUCCAAAUGUUACCUCCAGUUCAACUCCAAUUAAGCUGCAGUUGCAUUCUUCCAAGAAUGGCUGCAUCCACAUAAAGAAAAGGCAUUAGAAAGAUUGGAUCACUGACUUCUAUAAAAUAGAUCUACACGCUUUGAUGUAUGCUGUUAUGUGAGGAACAUAAACCUGAAUGGAAAAUUGGAGAAACAAUAGUAAAAAAUAGUUCCAGUCAAAGGUCCACUUCUCAUCCCAUUGAGCAGAUUUCAAUAAAAAGUAAUGGAAACAUUAAAAAAAAGAGAAUUAGAAACAUAAAGUAGAAAUUCACCUGCUCAACACUAUGCAUGAAAUAUUUGUUAAGAAUACGGCGCAUGAAAUAUUUGUUAGGAAUAUGCAUAAGCUAAACCAAUGCCAAAUUCUACCAUGUGGCAUGGACUAUGGUGUCGCGCAACACUUUCAACUUUGAUGUGAGGAUAAUACUGACCUAGAAACUGUAGGAUGAAGUUUAGCCAUUGGAUAGAGAAUGGAUCCAAAUAUCAAUGGAAAUGCUGCUCCAAUCGGAAUCUCGGCCAGCAUCUUAGAAGAGAGAUAUGGUCCUAGUGCAUAGGAACCCUUUGCACGUUCCUGUCAACUAUAGCUCGUUCUUUCGGGAAAACCCCCACCGUCUUUGUCAGAGCAGCCAUUGCUGUGUUUAUGGCAGCCACCUAACUCGUGAAAUGAAAGAAAACAGACAGUUAUAAGAUAUGAGGAGGUGCUCAGGCAUUUUUUAGAGAAACUGUUCUUUAAGAAAAAAUGGGAACAGUUAUAAGAUAAAUCAAAUAUCAGAAUGUGUUUGUUCCAUAGAUUCAAGACAUUCUACCUGAAGAAGUCCCAUCCUAUCUUGUAUGGAAGUUUGAGUUUUCCCCAUUCGCCAGAACACUGAUCCAAAUAUAAUUGUUGAAGUAACAUACAUUCUUGCUCUCACUUUGUUUGUUGGUCCAUCACAAAAAGCCUGAAAUACUUCUCAGAAUCAACUAAUAGAUAGUCAAUCUUCAGGUAAACAACCAUUUAGAUUUCAGGCAGCUAAGCUCAGAUAUCUCGAAGCUACCCAAGCUAAGAUUCGAAAUUCAGAAAAUAACCAAUCUAGAAGUGUUCAAUUUAUUUUGUUCGCGUCAAGAGCCCUUUUCUUGUUUACUUGGUUUACUUACACAUUUCAUGCAGUAGUUACAUGUUGCAGCUACAUCAGCCACAGAGUUGGUGAAAGCACAACAUGCCACCAAGUGUCAACUUACAGUAAAUAUUGAAAAGAUAGAUCCCCUGAAUUUGCUACAGUAUAGGUCCGGUUUAUUUUAAGCUAAACACACACGCCAAAAUAACCUAUCAACGAAUUUCAAGGCAGAAGUAGGAAAAAAGCUGGAAGACACUAUCAGACAAGGCUCCGUGAAAAACAUGCAUCCAUGCUCUCUUGAAUAUCAAACGAAAUUGUCUCCACCAACCACGUCUUUGCUUGCUAGUGGACUUCUGAGCAGGUUUGGUAGAAAAUUCAGAGCCCUCCGACUGUGUUACUGGACUGUUAAAUUCAGUAAUUAGAACCUUAUUUGAAAAAUCAUCAAUUAGGUUCUCAAUCCUUUUAUGUGAUGACUGUACACUUUCAGCUGAGCUAUAAUCAGUGGAAAUGAGAUCAGCCAAGAACUCAGCGGGGUUCUCAUGACCUGGCCAUUGGUACCUAAUGAAGUAAACAAACUCAAGUUAGUAAUCAGUAAUAGUACAAGUGCAGAAUAAGAUAUGGGCUGAAAACAAAGCAGUUAAAAUAGGCCUGAGUUAUGUUCCACGGAGUAAACAGCUAAAAAUAACUGUGCAAAAAUUCCAGCAUCGUGAAUGUUCGAUUUCAGGGCUCUCCUAACAAGGAUACAUAUAGUCAAAUGAUAAAUUACUUAAGCUUGAAGCAAGUGUGAAAAAUCAGACGUACAAUACAACCUGAACUGCUGAAAACAUGAAGGACCAAUGUAUGCCUAUGGAUGGAGUACUUCCCUCUAUGCCUACUUAUGUAACAAUUGCUUCAGUACCGUGUUGGCCACAUGAAUAAUACUAAAAUGUUGACACAUCACCAUAUCCAUCAUCCAUGUGUAUAACAAUCGAUCGUGACAUGCUACAGUGUCAAAUACAAAAUGACUGAGAUGUGUUACCAAAAUCCAAUCUAUGCCUGGUAUUACUUAGCCCUGCUAACUAUAUUAUAAAUUAAAUAAGUGCAGUACAUACAUUUGAGAUAUGUGGAAAUCAUGGAAAAUAUUAUGUUUUAGAGAACACCAAAUGACAGAUAGGAAUGUAAGUGAUGACAGAAUAACAACCCUAAUGACGCAAAGUAUUUUAGAGGUUCUUCUUUUGCCGGCCCCAUAUAUACAACUUCUCCCUCUGAGAGUAGCACAAUGUCAUCACAUUUGCUAUAGACUGAACCUCUCGGCUGGUGUAUAGAGCAUAUGACCGUGUGCCCAUCUUCUGCAAGCUGUCUAAGGGUCUCCAUCACCUUCUCUGACUGGAAUGCAUCAAGGCCUAAAAGAGAGUAACAAACAUACACAAAGUUCAUGUGCUAUCAGUUCAUAUUUUACAGCUGGCAUACCAAGCUAUUAAAAAGAACUCUAGCUAAUAUUCAGGAGAGGGUCUCAGGAGAAAAGGCUAAUCCAUGUGAAAGUUCAACAAUUCAACAAGGGAUCCCACCUAAAAACGGAAAGUUGCAAGAACAGUGUGUCUCAUUUUUCUUCACGGGACUGUGGGUGAUACUUUGGUGGAUUGUCUUGCUUGAGAAACAAACUCGAGAAUUAAAUUGAUAAAAUGAUGGUUAACAUAAAACGUAGACAACUGCAGUUGUGAGGUAAUCAGGAAAAGAUGCAAGCAGGUCACAUACCAGGCCAGUGACUGUAGACAACCUCCCAGGCUUAUUGGCCUAUCUGUUUUCCUCACAAGAUCCACAUAAUCACUUCACUGAGCCAAGAAAUGGGAUCACUUAUUGAUAGUUAAACAUGAUUUCCUGAUCAUCAGCUCACUUGUUAGGUUAAAAAUAUAUAUAAAGAUGGUUAUUAGAUCAGCAUGCCUUGUUUCUUGCAAUAUUGGUGGCAGAUGGAGGCUGAUACUUGUGAUGUGCAGUUAAAUGAUUUAAUCAUUUAGGGGAGAUUUGAUUUGAUGCCUCUGACUGACUAUAUCAGGCAAUGGAUACUGAAUAAUCGCAUCAUACUUUGAGAUAGCAGUAAGGUUAAUACUUUAGCUUAUUUACCAAAUUACAUUACUUGCAAAAUAUUUACCUAUUUACAACAGGAAAUCGUAUAUGUAUCAGUAUUGAUGGAGCUAACAUUAAACAGUAUAAUCAACAUGUCUAGCUCAGAGCCCUCUUCCUAUCAUUCCAUGAUAUACAUGCUUUUAUCCUGAAGUUUGCAUCUACUUCGCUAUGUCUAUUCAGAUCAACUUAAGGUUCUGGGAGUAAUCAAUAGUAAAGUUGGCGGUGUAGAAAAACCAGGAUCAUAUGUAUACGUUCAAUUUCAGACCACAACAUGGCCUACAAGGAGGGAAUUAGCUAGGCAACGGAAGAAGCCUGAAAGGUAAUCUUGAUUAAUUCUAAAAUAGCAAACCAUGAUGGAUGCCGGUGAGCUGCCUAAACGAACAUAAACAUUGUUCAUCACAAAAAUUCAGAAAUUUGUCAUUCACUAAUGGAGCACACACAUGCCAGGGAUGUUAAAGAAAUGGGGAACAUCGUACAUCAUUAGAAAUAUUCAUGCAAUAUUGAGAAGCUCAAUUAUUAAAUGGUGCAAACAAAGUAAGCAGAAUCUCAAGUAAAUAUGAAUAUGUGACGAAAAGGACCUUAGAUGUUGCAGAUGUUGAUGAGUGGCAAUAUUCUGUACCUGUAGAAAUAAAGUAUGCGUAGUUAGGGAGGAAGAGGAAACUGAAUUUUUUUUCAUUCUGUCAAAAUUAUAUAUUUUAAAAUGUCAUUCAGUUUUGCCGCAUAUGGUUUUUAUGUAAACUUUUGAAUGUUGAAACAUAUGUUUCAUGAAUCUUGAAACAUAUUAGCUUGCACAAUUUUUUUUAAAAAAGUACUAAAUUAUUUUCCCGUAUAAAAUUUAAGAAAGCGAUAGCAGCAGACUGGUUAAGAGUAGAGGCUUCAGAAGAUGUUGCAGAGGUGUGGAAGAAGGUAAUACUCAAAAAUAGAAUUUUUUAGGUCAAAUCAAGUUGCAUCUCUAACUGGAGAUGAAAGGUUUAAUGUCAUGAGUGUACCAAGCAGAGAGCAUCUAUUUUGCAAGCAGAGAGGCUGCAGGGUGCCUUUUAUGCAUUCAACAGAAGGACUAAGUAGAUGCAUCCUUUUUCACCUCCUAUAUUCACCAUCCGCCUCUCCCAUUUUCUCUCUCCACUGCCUCCUCUCAACCCAUCCCGGUAAGCCCCACCUUCGCCUCGUCGAUGCAUACGGCCUUUGCAUCACGGUGCGCAAACCUUCAUGAUCUAAAUAGAUCUACCUUUCAUGUCAAUAUAUAAUGCUUGCUCACAGCCCAUGACUCAAUCUCUUGAAACAACAAAACACGUGGGUUUUAAAAAAAAUUAAUUGAAACUACAAUGUGGUAUUUUUUAACUCAAACUACAAUGUGCAGAUUAUAUAUUUAGAUUAUUUAGAUUAUAUAUUUGAGUAGUUGUGACAAAACAAAACAUCGCUGCCGAUACUAUUGUGGAUAACCCAAUAUAGCAAAACUUUGGCCUCCUUUCCUGUAGUUAGGCAACUUCAGGAGCAUAGCAACACAAUGGGAUGGGAAGGUAAGCAACAAAACUUCAAAUGUCUGAGUUGCUUGGACUACAAUUUAUGAAAUCCUCACUAAUUCAAUAUGUCCUCAUAAACUGUAACCCUUUUAGCGCUGAGUGUGGCAUUGGCGUUGGAUCAUGAUAAUUCACAUACGGCAAUUGUUCCAGAAUAAUUGUUCCUGUUGUGUGGAAGAAUCAUGUAUGUAUGCACUAAAAUAAUCAUAACCAGAAGGAUCAUGUAUGUAUCAGAUUAUCUUGUGUGGAAAGAACAGAACCACAAGCAUGUUGUUCAAACAAUGCACACUUGAAUGUAAAGAAAACUUACUGGCUCAGAUGAGAUCGUUGGCGGCAGAGGAGGAGCAGAGGAAGGCGGGCGGCGGAGAAUAGGAUCGGCGGGCGGAGGGCGAGGAUGUACAGACUGAAGCGAAAAAUGAUGCAGAUGAAGGAAAGAUUCACCAGGUUGAACAAGCCUUGGAGUGGUCAGUACAAAACUGGAGCCUGACGAUUGCUAUAGCAGAGCAUCGGUGGUCUUCCGUUCCGUUGCAGGUGCUGCACCUGCGUGCAUCUGCAUCAGGGAGGGAGGGUGUGAGUGAGGGGAGCCGCCAAAUCCAAAACAAUCAAGAGUCCAGUUGGGAGAGGAGAAGAGGGACCUUGACGACAUCCAGGCAUUCCAUGGCGGCUGCAAACGGCGGCGGAGGCUUGGCCGUGGAGCGGCGGCGGAGGCUUGGCCGUGGAUGGGCGGGCGGCGGCCGGCGGCGAAGGCCCGACCAUGCUCUGGUCGUUGGGAGGAGGAGGUGCGGGGUGUGGGAAAGGUCGUCGUGUGGGGGUUCGUGCGUGCGUGCCGUGGGCAAAGGUCGUGGUGCAGUGGGUUUUUUCGGAACGGGUUAACCCAAUGGUAUUGGUGGGUAAUUAAAGUAUAAAACGUGUUUGAUGUUUUAGAGGAA